AAUAUUGCGCAAUGGGCGAAAGCCUGACGCAGCCACGCCGCGUGUGCGAUGAAGGUCUUCGGAUCGUAAAGCACUGUGGGGAGAGAAGAAACCAGCCGGUGAAGAGCCGGCCCUGACGGUAUCUCCUUAGCAAGCACCGGCUAACUCCGUGCCAGCAGCCGCGGUAAUACGGAGGGUGCAAACGUUGCUCGGAAUCAUUGGGCGUAAAGCGCACGUAGGCGGCCUAUCAAGUCGGAUGUGAAAGCCCUGGGCUCAACCCCGGAAGUGCAUCCGAAACUGACAGGCUUGAAUGCCGGAGGGGCCCAGAGAAUUCCCGGUGUAGAGGUGAAAUUCGUAGAUAUCGGGAGGAAUACCAGUGGCGAAGGCGCUGGGCUGGACGGCGAUUGACGCUGAGGUGCGAAAGCGUGGGGAGCAAAC
rnacentral:rRNA from 1 species